CUAGGGCUGGCAAUGAGUUGAGACAGCUCGCGAGCUACUCGAACUCGGCUCGGUCAAAGCUCGGUCAAAGCUCGACUCGAGUGAGCUCGACUUGAGCUCGAACUCGACUCGAUAGGUUAACGAGUCGAGUCAAGCAACUCAAUACUCGACUCGAAAAACUCGUGAGAUACUCGAUAAUUUUUUUUUAUAUAUAUAUAUAUAUAUACUUUUAAUUUUUUUUUAAGAAAAUUUAGCUUUUUUUUCUAUAAAAAUACUUGUAAUUUUCUUUAAAAAAAAUGAAAAAAAAGUAUAUAAAAUGACUAAAAGUAAAGUAAAGAAUUUCUUCUAAAAAAAAUAGAACUAUAUCAAAGGAUAAGAUUUAAAGAAACCCAAAAGAUUUAAUCUUAACCAUUCAUUGUAAAGACUAAAGAUAGAGUGAGUGUGAGAUAGUAAAAACUAAAAACCCUAGAAACUAGCAGGGAGGCACGCAGUCACGCACAACACUAGCAGUUCAUCUCUCAAGGUAAAGAAUUUCGCCUCUUGCCGACUUGCCCUCUUCAAUCCUCCUUCUCUCUCCAAUCUCCAAUUCUACAUCGAAAUUCAUCUCCAGAACACCAGUACACCACCAUCUCCAUCGACAUCCGAGUCGCGAAGAGCAUCUCCAUCGACAUCCGACUCGCGAAGACCACGAUAAGUCGACGGCGAACACGGCACAUUCUAAGGUUUUUUGUGGAAAAAGUUUGAGCUAGGUGCAUGAUUUCGUGUUAAGUUUGCGGAACCUAAAAUGUGGCCAUCAUGUGAUGUGCAAAUUGUAUUAGUUGUUGUGGAUUUGUAGUGAUAGGGUGAUAAUAUAUUUGUAUUAGUUGUUUGGUUGAAAUCGAUUCGGAAAAACUCUUCAUGUUGAUGUUCGAUGUAUGGUUAAGUAUUUUGAGUUUGGUA